rnacentral:rRNA from 1 species
UAUUGGUCAAUGGGCGGGAGCCUGAACCAGCCAAGUCGCGUGAGGGAAGACGGUCCUACGGAUUGUAAACCUCUUUUGCCGGGGAGCAACGGGGUCCUUGCGAGGGCCCGAUGAGAGUACCCGGAGAAAAAGCAUCGGCUAACUCCGUGCCAGCAGCCGCGGUAAUACGGAGGAUGCGAGCGUUAUCCGGAUUUAUUGGGUUUAAAGGGUGCGUAGGCGGGCUUUUAAGUCAGCGGUAAAAAUUCGGGGCUCAACCCCGUCCGGCCGUUGAAACUGGGGGCCUUGAGUGGGCGAGAAGAAGGCGGAAUGCGUGGUGUAGCGGUGAAAUGCAUAGAUAUCACGCAGAACCCCGAUUGCGAAGGCAGCCUUCCGGCGCCCUACUGACGCUGAGGCACGAAAGUGCGGGGAUCGAACAGG